rnacentral:rRNA from 1 species
UAAUACGGAAGGGGCUAGCGUUGUUCGGAAUCACUGGGCGUAAAGCGCGCGUAGGCGGCCGGUCAAGUGCGGCGUGAAAGUCCUGGGCUCAACCUGGGGACGGCGCUGCGGACUGUUCGGCUGGAGUCCGGAAGAGGGUGGUGGAAUUCCGAGUGUAGAGGUGAAAUUCGUAGAUAUUCGGAGGAACACCGGUGGCGAAGGCGGCCACCUGGUCCGGUACUGACGCUGAAGCGCGAAAGCGUGGGGAGCAAACAGGAUUAGAUACCCUGGUAGUCCACGCCGUAAACGAUGGGUGCUAGAUGUCGGGGGGCUUGCCCUUCGGUGUCGUAGCCAACGCAUUAAGCACCCCGCCUGGGGAGUACGGCCGCAAGGUUA